rnacentral:rRNA from 1 species
GACGAACGCUGGCGGCGUGCUUAACACAUGCAAGUCGAACGGAAAGGCCCUGCUUUUGCGGGGUGCUCGAGUGGCGAACGGGUGAGUAACACGUGAGUAACCUGCCCUUGACUUUGGGAUAACUUCAGGAAACUGGGGCUAAUACCGGAUAGGAGCUCCUGCUGCAUGGUGGGGGUUGGAAAGUUUCGGCGGUUGGGGAUGGUCUCGAGGCUUAUCAGCUUGUUGGUCGGGUAGUGGCUUACCAAGGCUUCGACGGGUAGCCGGCCUGAGAGGGGGAACGGGCACCAUGGGACUGAGGGACGGAGCAGACGCGUACGGGAGGCAGCAGUGGGGAGUAUUACGGAGUGAGGGGGAGCGAGAUACGACGGCGCUGGGUGCGGAAAGAUGUGUUACGGGGUAUGAACCAAUUUGGCCUGUGACGAGGAGUGAGUGACGGUAAUGAGUAAGAAAGCACCGGCUAACUACGUG